AGUAACUGCGAGUGAAGCGGGAUAAGCUCAAAUUUGAAAUCUGGCAGUCUUUUUUUUCUUCUUUGGCUGUCCGAGUUGUAAUCUAGAGAAGUGCUUACCUGCGCUGGACCAUGUAUAAGUCUCCUGGAAUGGAGCCUCACAGAGGGUGAGAAUCCCGUCUUUGACAUGGACUGCCAGUGUGUUGUGGUGUGCUCUCAAAGAGUCGAGUUGUUUGGGAAUGCAGCUCUAAAUGGGUGGUAAACUCCAUCUAAAGCUAAAUAUUGGCGAGAGACCGAUAGUGAACAAGUACCGUGAGGGAAAGAUGAAAAGGACUUUGGAAAGAGAGUUAAACAGUAUGUGAAAUUGUUGAAAGGGAAACGCUUGAAGUCAGUUAUGUUGUCUAGGGAUCAACCCAGCUAUUUUUGCUGGGUGAAUUUCCUAGCCUGACAGGCCAACAUCAGUCUUGACUGCUGGAAAAGAGCAGAGGGAAUGUGGCACCUUUGGGUGUGUUAUAGCCCUUCGUCAUAUGUGGCAGUUGGGACUGAGGGAUGCAGCAUGCCAUGAGGCUGGGUUUCUGACCACGUUCAUGCUUAGGAUGUUGGCUUUUAAUGGCUUCAAUCGACCCGUCUUGAAACACGGACCAAGGAGUCCAACAUGCCUGCGAGUGUUUGGGUUGGGGAAAACCCUUUUGCACAAUGAAAGUGAAAGUUGAGAUCCCUGUCAUGGGGAGCAUCGACGCCCGGACCUGAGCUUUUAGUGACGGAUCUGCGGUAGAGCAUGCAUGUUGGGACCCGAAAGAUGGUGAACUAUGCCUGAAUAGGGCAAAGCCAGAGGAAACUCUGGUGGAGGCUCGUAGCGAUUCUGUACGUGCAGAAUCGAUCG
rnacentral:rRNA from 1 species